CCUGAAAAACACCUUGAAUAAUAUUGUAUUAAUGCACAGUAAUAAAACACUUAAAAUAUAGAUAUUUUUAAUAUACCGUUUUAUAUUAUUAAAACACUACGAAUAUUGCUUUUACCGUAGUUCGACUAUUUUCUUCUUGUUUUCAAAGUCAUAUUAAUAAAGAGUCCGUGCACGCCAACACUUUCAUUUAAACAAUUGUAACACAGUGGAUUUCCUUUCAACACGUGUUUAAAUCGUUCUUUGGCUAGACUGUUUCAAGAAAAAUUCGUUAACCUACAUUCCCGCAUUCCCCCGUUCCCGCAUUUCCCCAUUCCCGCAUUUCCCCAUUCCCGUUACCUAUUUUAAAGGCAGCCUUCCCUGUUCCCCCAUUCCCCGUUCCCAAAUUCCCUGCUCCGCACUCCCCCAUUCCCCCCUUCCCACAUUGCCUGUUCCCCCAUUCCCUGAUUCCCCGUUCUCCCAUUCCCCCAUUG